GGCGCCUUCGUCUAGCGGUUUAGGACAUCAGGUUCUCAUCCUGAAGAUCACGGGUUCGAAUCCCGUAGGCGUCA
rfam:Candidatus Roizmanbacteria bacterium RIFCSPHIGHO2_01_FTLL_39_12b rifcsphigho2_01_scaffold_235, whole genome shotgun sequence.